GACAGAGGGCGCAAGCGUUGUUCGGAAUUACUGGGCGUAAAGCGCGCGUAGGCGGAUCUGUAUGUCCGUAAGUGAAAUCCCGCCGCUCAACGGCGGGGCUGCUUGGGAAACGGCAGGUCUGGGGACCGGUAGAGGUCGGUAGAAUUCCCGGUGUAGCGGUGGAAUGCGUAGAGAUCCGGAGGAACACCGACGGCGUAGGCAGCGCCCUAGACGAGACCUGACGCUCAGGCACGAAAGCGCGGGGAGCGAACAGG
rnacentral:rRNA from 1 species